rnacentral:lncRNA from 1 species
GGGCUCUUUCACAGAUAGCAACAGACAAAGCAAAUGGAUUGAGCUUAAAUCCCUUCACAAGCUUAAAUGUACUAUGUACACGUACCCUCCUUCUCCUCUCAUUUUCAUCUUCAAUCAUUUUCCAUUGCCGACAAAUUACAAAGACUAAGACAAAAAAACAUUGUUUUAUAUUGCAUCGUACUUGCAUUAUUAAUGAAAACUCUUACUCCAACUCUAUAAUAUGAAUCCAC